rnacentral:rRNA from 1 species
CAGGCCUAACACAUGCAAGUCGAGCGGGCCCUUCGGGGUCAGCGGCGGACGGGUGAGUAACGCGUGGGAACGUGCCUUCUGGUCUGGAAUAACCCUGGGAAACUAGGGCUAAUACCGGAUACGCCCUUUUGGGGAAAGGUUUACUGCCGGAAGAUCGGCCCGCGUCUGAUUAGCUAGUUGGUGGGGUAACGGCCUACCAAGGCGACGAUCAGUAGCUGGUCUGAGAGGAUGAUCAGCCACACUGGGACUGAGACACGGCCCAGACUCCUACGGGAGGCAGCAGUGGGGAAUAUUGGACAAUGGGCGCAAGCCUGAUCCAGCCAUGCCGCGUGAGUGAUGACGGCCUUAGGGUUGUAAAGCUCUUUCACCGGUGAAGAUAAUGACGGUAACCGGAGAAGAAGCCCCGGCUAACUUCGUGCCAGCAGCCGCGGUAAU